rnacentral:rRNA from 1 species
GACGAACGCUGGCGGCGUGCUUAACACAUGCAAGUCGAACGGAAAGGCCCUGCUUUUGUGGAGUGCUCGAGUGGCGAACGGGUGAGUAACACGUGAGUAACCUGCCCUUGACUUUGGGAUAACUUCAGGAAACUGGGGCUAAUACCGGAUAGGAGCUCCUGCUGCAUGGUGGGGGUUGGAAAGUUUCGGCGGUUGGGGAUGGACUCGCGGCUUAUCAGCUUGUUGGUGGGGUAGUGGCUUACCAAGGCUUUGACGGGUAGCCGGCCUGAGAGGGUGACCGGCCACAUUGGGACUGAGAUACGGCCCAGACUCCUACGGGAGGCAGCAGUGGGGAAUACUGCACAAUGGGCGGAAGCCUGAUGCAGCAACGCCGCGUGCGGGAUGACGGCCUUCGGGUUGUAAACCGCUUUCGCCUGUGACGAAGCGUGAGUGACGGUAAUGGGUAAAGAAGCACCGGCUAACUACGUG